rnacentral:snoRNA from 1 species
AUUUUUCAUGAUGAAUUCUUUACCGCCCCAGGCUGAAAGUCUGUUGAAUGGUAUUUCCUGACUGAAG